CCCCCCACCUAACCCCUGCCCCCCAAAAAAAGAACAACCAGGAGGAAGCCCUUGCUACUGCCAGUCCCUGCAGUGAGGAUGACAGUAGGGGCUGUGAAGGCAGGAGGGAGGGCAGGCAGGGGUGGUGAUCUCUCUCCCUGGUGCCCUGGCUCCCUGGCCAGGGGUGGAGAAGGGCUGCUCUGAAUGGAGUCAGUGUGAAGACAGGAAAAGCAAACACCACAGCCCAGGCCCUACUUGGCCUGUGUGGUGGAGCGGAACAGAAUGGGGUGAGGGGCCUGAACAUAUCUCAGCCCUCUUUAACCUCUCAGGGUCCCAUGGCUUCCUGUCCCUUGGCCCCCAGCCUCAAGAAGGGGAGGGGGCUUAGGCCUGGGGCUGUGCCCUCUAGAAGACCCCUUCCUUCACCCAGACCUUCCCUGCCCCUCUGCCCAGCCCUCAGUCAGUGCCCUUCCUGCCUGGCAGAUGCCAAGGAAAAUCUGUGCCAGGAAGGGCGGUCUAACACCUGAGGACCCGCCUGACCCUCUUCUCAGAGCAGACGCUGGCGAGGCCAGUCACCUUGUACAGAGGCAGCCCCUGUAAGUCUGCAGUGCCAGCUGCCUCCAAGGCCCAGGGGACCCCAAGAUGCUAUGCCUGGACUGGUGGAACCACGGAGGCUCCCUUUCUGCAUUCCUUGAUUUGGGGAAUGAAUUUGGGGGUUGCACACCUUCCUGGGUGACACAUCAGAGCCACUGGCAGGGAAGUGGUUCCAUGUAGGAGCCUUGGCUGGGCCCUGUUGGAGGCAUUGGAGCCAGAAUGAAGAAAGACCAGAGUUUCAGGGUUCCAUGUUCCCGUUUGCUGCCUUAUGCUGCCCUGCC